rnacentral:misc_RNA from 1 species
UGGUUCUGGCAUCGAUGAAGAACGCAGCGAAAUGCGAUAAGUAAUGUGAAUUGCAGAAUUCAGUGAAUCAUCGAAUCUUUGAACGCACAUUGCACCCUCUGGUAUUCCGGGGGGUAUGCCUGUUCGAGCGUCAUUACAACCCUCAAGCCCAGCUUGGUGUUGGGUAUCGCCGGUCCUCGGUGUGCCCUAAAAUCAGUGGCGGUGCAGCACUGCUUCAAGCGUAGUAAUUCUUCUCGCUUCUGGAGCUCGUGUAUGUGCCUGCCAUCAAGCCUAUCUAUCAAUGGUUGACCUCGGAUCAGGUAGGGAUACCCGCUGA